ensembl:lncRNA
CUCCCCUGUCAUCAGUGCUCUAAUUAUGACAACCAGGUGCAAACAGCAAGUAAUCUUGUUUGUCACUGCCUGAUCGGGGUUUUCAAACCUCUCGUAUUUAUCAUGUGAGUUGGAAGGGGAGGUGAGUUUUUGUAAGCCUCUGUGCCUGGGGCAAACGCAGGUGGGAGGGAGAGAACAUACAGUCUGUGCGCUGAAAAGAAUCACAUACAUGUGUGCCAGUGCCCUUUUUCCUGGUGGGCUUCAUCCCCUGAAUCAUUCUUCUGUGUGAUGACUGUCAUGAGCUACGCGGCAGUGACAAGGGCCAGCCUUUGAUCCCUGUGAAGUGCAUCUGGAGAGAUCCACGGAGACGGGUGCGUGACUGUCAGCUUUCUGGCCCUCGGGCCCGGUGAAAAACCAUACAUGAAUAAAUCAACAUGCUCUAAAAGAGGACAUGCGCACAACUUCAAAUCGAGCUUCUAAAGUUUGGCACAUUUUUUCGAUCUGCAGUGCAUGUUUGCUCCUUUCUCAUUUAAUGGUGUCGUCAUUUUCUUGUGUCAUUAAUGUAUCCAUGAACUAGUUAAACAUUUUUACAAGCUAGCAUACAUCCUGUCAUAAAACCACUGGCUUACAUGAUAAUAUACACUACAGGUCAGAUUUUUUCUUAAAGAAAUUAAUAAUGAAUUACUCCGCAAGGACAUAUUAAAUUGAUCAAAAGUGGCAUUUAUUAAAUAUUUCAAAUGAAUGCUGUUCUUUUGAACUUUUGAUUAAUCAAAGAAUUCCAAUUUUUUUUGAAUAGACCAACUUAAACACAUUGUUGCACUACUGUACAGUGAAAUGAAAGUGUUCUGUGCCCUAUAUUGUGCUGGUGUUUAUUGUUACAAAUGAUUUUGAUUGGCAUAAAAUGAUGCAACACUACUUCCGUUCACAACUUCCAGCAUCCACACUUCCAACAAUAAUUGAUUAUGAUCAACACCAAUUAACUUCCAACAUGAUUUUUAAAUUGACAUGCUGCCAACAAAUCCUCCUGAUUUCCUGC